rnacentral:tRNA from 1 species
GGGGCUGUAGCUCAGUUGGGAGAGCGCGUGAAUCGCACUCACGAGGUCAGGGGUUCGAAUCCCCUCAGCUCCA